AUGGUUUUUGAAGACGAGAGCAGCGACGACAACUCAAGCCCGCCGUACAUGCACUCCGAAACCUCCACCGAUGGGCUCAACCAGGAAGGUCAGAAUUGUGGGUUUGUUCAGUGGGUUGAUGAGCAGUGGCCCCCAACAAUGGAGAAUGCAUUGUUGAAGCUUUGGUCAAUGGUUGAAGAGAGAAAGUCUGCUAGGGUGAAUGAUAAUCUUCAAAGUGCUUUAACUAUUCACCAUUUGACAGAAGAAAAGAAGAAGCUGGAUGCAGACUAUGACAAGUUAGUGAAAGAUGUGCAUCAACUUGUGGACUUUCAGCAGGAUAGGGUUGUGGAUUUCAGUUAUCUGCAGUCAGCUGUCACAUAUCAGCACCAAUGCAGAGCUGAAUUGGUGGCUGGUAUGAAUGCAGAAAUGGCAAAGAAAGAUGCUGCUACAGAGAAGCUUCAACAGAAGUAUGAAAUCCUGUGCAACCUGACAAGUGCUCAAGCAACUGCCAUCCAAAACCUCAAGUUGAAGAAUAUGAAAGAGAAGGAAUUGAUGAGUGAGGCUAGGAUGAAUUUGGAGUUGAAGAAUGCAGAGUUCACAAAGUUUGAGGAGAAGCUCACCCAAGAGAAGCUAGAGUUGAAGUUCCAGGUUGCUGAUCGGCUGAAGCUAGCAGAUUCAAGAGUUUAA
rnacentral:rRNA from 1 species